rnacentral:lncRNA from 1 species
CCAGCAGCUCUUUAGCAAAAGGGCCUUACCCUGGGAUCUCAUUCAGUUGCUGCUUUGCCUGCCUUAGCCCAGAAGUGAUUAUUCUGGGGAGGUAACGCCCCAUUAAUUAGAAUCCCAGUGCUCCCCCCCUUUUUUUCCCUUUGUUUGGUGAGGGGACCCUACUGUUAUCCCAAGUGCUCUUAUUCUGGUGAGAAGAACCUUACUUCCAUAAUUUGGGAAGGAAUGGGAGAUGGACAUCACCGGACACCACCAGAGAUUAGGAUGGGAUGGAUGGUUUUGGGGGGAUGAGAUGGAGGAAAUAAGUCUUACUGUUGUUCUCCUGGGGUCCCCCCUCUCCAACUUUUGCUGCCUCCUCCUGAGCCAGGAUUGUCCAGUGAUUGAAGUGUAAAUAAUUGUGUACUGGAUGUGGAGAGUGGCGCGUGUGCCCUCCUGUCCCUUCUCCCCCUGCCUGGAUUAUUUAAAAAGCCAUGUGUGGAAACCUAUUUAAUAAAUAAUGAAGUCACAA